GACGGGUGAGUAACACGUACGUGAUCAUACCCCUAGAGACGGUGAUAACGGGUGGAGACAUCCUGCUAAUACCGGAUACGCUUGUUCGGUCAGAGGGACCAGGAAAAGCUCCGGCGCUCUGUGGAGGAGCCUGCGGGCCCAUCUAGCUAGUUGGCGGUGUAACGGUCCUACCAAGGCAAAGACGGUUAGGGGGUGUGAGAGCAUGGGCCCCCACAAUGGGACUGGAACACGGCCCUAUACUCCUACGUGGAGGCAGCAGCAUGGAAUAUUGCACCAAUGGACUGGAAGUCUGAUGCAUCGACACCGCGGUGGAUGAAGAAGGCCCUCGGGUUGUAAAAUCCUUUACAGGGGGAAUAGGAAGGACGGUACCCCUGGAACAAGUGUCGGCUAACUACGUGCCAGCAACCGUGGUAAGACAUAGGACACAAGCGUUAUCCGGAUUUACUGGGCGUACAGCGUCUGCAGGCGGACAGGUCAGUUGGGCGUGAAAGCUCCGUGACCAACCCGGAGAGGUCGUGCAUUACUGCGUGUCUAGAGGGUGUCAGAGGGGAGUGGAAUUUCCGGAGUAGCGGUAACGUGCGCAGAGAUCGGAUAGAACAGCCAAUGGCGGAAGGCCGCUCCCGUGGGGCGACCCUGACGCUAUGAGACGACGGCUAGGGGACCGAACAGGAUUAGAGACCCUGGUAUUCCUAGCCCUAAACGAUGGAUGCUGGAUGUGGGG
rnacentral:rRNA from 1 species